rnacentral:lncRNA from 1 species
AUUUCAUAGAUGAGCUUGAGAAUAAAAGCCAGCACCAGGGGUCAUCAGGGAAGGCUUCUGGUAGGAGGUGGCACCUGAGCUAUGAUUUGACGGACGUUAGUGAUUCUUUAAGGCAGAAGUAGAGACUGAGUCCUUUCUGGAUCUGGAGGGCAGCCCUACAAAUCCCAGGCUGGACAGGAGAUGGAAUAUUCCAGGGAAGAGCUAGCCUGGAAUGGAGACCGUGCAAUGGCAAGUAACAUGAACUUGGACAAAGAAGGUCAGUAGGAACCAGAUUGUCGAAGCUUUGAAUUUCCAGCCUAGGAAAAUUCCCAUUUUAUCGCCGAGACAAUGGGAUCUGCUUAAGGUUUUGGAGGAGGAGGCUCACCGGGUUCGCUCUGUAUCUCUGGAAUAACUCUUUGGCUGCCACGUGGAACCCACGUCCCAGAGGGGCAAGAAUGACAUUCUCCCAGGAAGCCCACUGAGAUCUUCUUGGAAUAGUCUAGGAGACAACUGCUGAGGGCUUGAACAAGAGUGGGGGCUCUCUCAGCAGAGGGCAGGGCUCAGAGGGGCGAAGCCUUGCAGAGGUCGAGUGACGAUGGAUGAAUUGAAUCUUAAUCAUGGUCAUCCCCAAGGCCAUCCCCUGGCAAGUCAAGGAUAAGAAGAGAGCUCGCUCAGGGGCUUUGCCAAAAUGUCACCAUGACUUCCAAUGGGAAAGGGAAGAGGUUGAAGUAAGAAGACGACUGUCCAAGGAGGAGGCACAGAGAUCUAUUCUGAUUGGCUCAGACUGAAUGAGGCUGCCAUGCCGUUCAUUUUCCUCAGGGAAAAGGAGGAUUUCACUCAGAUGCUUUUUUCCCUCCUGGACACAGAGGCUUGGCAAAGGGCUUUCAGAAGAGUCUUCGUCCUCUGACACAAGCUUUAUUUCAAGGCUCAGUGGGUUUUUAGAUCAAAGGAACAGCCAGCAUCCAAGACCCAGAUUACAGAAAUGGAGGUCUAUGUGGAAUGCAGCCAAUCUCUCCUGGCUUGGCAUUCGAAAAUCUCGUCCCAAGGACCUCUUUCAACAGAUAUGGGAAGUAAAAUCCCCAGACCAGGCGGCUUGA